AACGAACGCUGGCGGCAGGCCUAACACAUGCAAGUCGAGCGAGACCUUCGGGUCUAGCGGCGGACGGGUGAGUAACGCGUGGGAACGUACCCUUCUCUGCAGGAUAGCCACUGGAAACGGUGAGUAAUACUGCAUACGCCCUUCGGGGGAAAGAUUUAUCGGAGAAGGAUCGGCCCGCGUUAGAUUAGGUAGUUGGUGGGGUAAUGGCCUACCAAGCCUACGAUCUAUAGCUGGUUUGAGAGGAUGAUCAGCCACACUGGGACUGAGACACGGCCCAGACUCCUACGGGAGCAGCAGUGGGAAUCUAGACAAUGGGCAACCUGAUCUAGCCAUGCCGCGUGAGUGAUGAAGGCC
rnacentral:rRNA from 1 species